UGCUUCAAUACGAUACACUUGAUAAUCUUCUCUUGCGCGAAAUUUCGAAGAUUAAAAAGGGGGCAUGAAAGGCAGGAAGAAAAGAGGAGCGAAAAGACAGCAAUUUUUUUCUGCGGGACGUGGGAAAGCUCGUGGACAAGGGACGGCGAAGAUGCCCACGACCAUUCACCUGUCAACUACUUUCUUCCUCUUCUACGGCUUCGUGUUCUUCUUCGUGUGCCAGUAUUGCUCCGAGGUGGCACAACUCGGCGCUGGCAUCGGCGCUGCUCACGUAGUCGCGCCUACCAAAACAUCCUCGACGAUCCUCCAUUUGACUCGCCAUUCAUCGCUGGUGAAACAGCUUAAUAUAAUCCUAUUUAAGGAGCUCCCAUUGUGACUAUACCGGCUAGUGGUACGUGACCGAAAUUAUUUACUCGUUUAUUAGAUGUCGCUGACUGAUCGGCAGCCUCCCGUCGGAUUUGACGUUCGCCUCUCCCAUUGUAACACUUCAUUGUUGCUCAAAAAAAGAUAUUCGGUAUAUAACUGAAACGCUUAUAUGCAGUAAUAAUGCAGCAAUUGCAUAUUUCUUUUUUUUUUUUUUUGCAUUUUAUUAUUUCAAUUUUACUUAGAAUAGAAAGAAAAGUCAUUCGGAUAAAAUUUGUUUGAUUUAUGGCCAUGAAGGAUUUUUCAUAGUCAUUUUGUGAAGAUUAACCAAGAAUUAAUUUUAUCCCCUCUCGUCUCGUAGAAGGGUAGUAUGUUCUGGGAAACUCGAUGGUAGUAGAAAAUUUAUACGAGAUUCCAGGAGUUUCAAACUCACGCGAGGAUGAACACGGUCCGCUCUGUCGAUCCGGAAACCACGGGAUCACGAAUCUCGUGGAAAUCUUGUUUUCUAUGAUGACAUCUCAUAUACACGCGCAUGCGCUUAAGUAAUCACUCUGUCUUAUCUAUUAUUAAACCCUUUUAUUAACUAAAAAUCUUCUUCAAAGGUGAAUAGAAAAAGUUAUCGAAGAUCGAACUGAAAUUUAAUUUAUUGAAAUUGUGAAAAGGAAAUAAUCAGGAAAAUAAGGGAGUAAGUUGAUUUCGUCAACCGUUAUUGCGGUUACUUAAAUGGAGUCAUAUCAUUGCCAGAGAAACGAUUAGAUGCAAUCGAAUUCCAGGAUCGGUCUGUCGGCGAAGUUUACACUCGAGUCUCGGCAUAGCUUUGCUAUGUUAGGUGGGCCAACAUAAGCAAACCUCUUGAGACGAGGCACAUGUGGCCAACAAUGGGCCAAAUAGCAUAGAAGGUUACAUGUGUAACAUAAGAUAAGGACCGGAACCGGAUGCCGGGAAAGACAAAGGUUCGCCCGUAGAAGAAACGAGCCUUGGAAAGAUAGAUCCUUCAAUUAUCGACCUGAAGUAAAUUCCAUAAUUUCAUACGGUUUCUCUGAUCAAUCAAAUCCCUGUUCGAAUAUCAGAUUACACGAUGUUCAUUGUUGUGAGAUAUAUGCAUGAUCGAAAUAUAGUAUUCAUGCACGGAUAUUCCGAGUGAACGCACGCAUUGUAUUCUAACAUGUACGUUAAUUCGGUAAAAGUAUAUGCAGCACGAAGCUCUCGGACUUUCGCAGGAUUAACCGCAGAUUUUCCUAGCCUCGAGAACGGCAGGAAGUGCUCGUGUGCCGGAUUGGUCCACGGGAUUAAAGGCAGAAGCGACAAGGCAGGUCCUGGAAGCAAGGUGACUCGCGAGGACCACCCGUCGGGGCCGUUUAAAGGAUUAUCCUUGGAGGUGCCAUCAUGUCAAAACACCGGACCUCUGAGAAUAGCUUGACUUCGACACUUGCCGCCACAGAAUUAUAGGAAAGGAGAGGAAUCGGCAAUUGUUUGGUUGUCAUCGCGAAAAAGCAGAAGAUUUAAGAUUAGAAAUAGUAAUAAAUAUUAAGAGGAAUAAAUAUAAAUUGGUUAACAUUUGAACGUUACAUUAGCAGUUAUAAUUUCUUUAUUGCAUAAUUAUUUAUCGUGUUUCUUAUUUCACAUUAAUUAUAAAUGUUUGAUAUCAAGUUUUUUUUUUUAGAUGUACACGAUAACAUUCUAUUAUACAUUCCGCCACAAUUUAAUCGUCGCAAUUGACAGUGGAGUUUUAAUCAUUUCGACAUACGCUUCCUUCGACUAUUUAUGUCAACGUUACAUUAGCAGUUAUAAUUUCUUUAUUGCAUAAUUAUUUAUCGUGUUUCUUAUUUCAUAUUAAUUAUAAAUGUUUGAUAUCGAGUUUUUUUUUUUUUUUUAGAUGUACACGAUAACAUUCUAUUAUACAUUCCGGCACAAUUUAAUCGUCGCAAUUGACAGUGGAGUUUUAAUCAUUUCGACAUACGCUUCCUUCGACUAUUUAUGUCAACGUUACAUUAGCAGUUAUAAUUUCUUUAUUGCAUAAUUAUUUAUCGUGUUUCUUAUUUCAUAUUAAUUAUAAAUGUUUGAUAUCGAGUUUUUUUUUUUUUUUUAGAUGUACACGAUAACAUUCUAUUAUACAUUCCGCCACAAUUUAAUCGUCGCAAUUGACAGUGGAGUUUUAAUCAUUUCGACAUACGCUUCCUUCGACUAUUUAUGUCAACGUUACAUUAGCAGUUAUAAUUUCUUUAUUGCAUAAUUAUUUAUCGUAUUUCUUAUUUCAUAUUAAUUAUAAAUGUUUGAUAUCGAGUUUUUUUUUUUUUUUAGAUGUACACGAUAACAUUCUAUUAUACAUUCCGCCACAAUUUAAUCGUCGCAAUUGACAGUGGAGUUUUAAUCAUUUCGACAUACGCUUCCUUCGACUAUUACACCGCUGCUAUCUAUAUUUAUAAUAUAUACAAUAAUCAUUCGAACGUAUGUCCACGUGUGUGCGGACAUGUCUUGUCAAAUAACGGUGGCACUACGAGUAUAUAUUGUCCAGUCACAGUCUGCCACCGAGACAAGGAGAAACUCCAUACUGACAGUCAGCUCCAUUAAGUUCCAUUAUGGGUUCGCGGCGCGAAAGGUACACAGUAUUCGCAUUGCGCCUUCACUGAAACUUUUCGUUGGUCGCGCAGCAACUCGUUAAACUCGUUAAACCAAAAGACAGGACUGGCAUCGCUCAAAGAAUGACAACGAGUUCUACUUUUACGAUUAAGAUCGAUGGGAUGCGUUCGAAGCACUGAACAAACCGCAAGUCCCGUUUAUUUAAUUGCAGAUAGACUUCCUCGAAAUGCUUUCAAUAUAUAUAUUAUACACAUUUUAUACGAAGAACAGAUUUAUAUAGAUAUACGUAUAUUCUUUG